rnacentral:tRNA from 1 species
UCUCAUUUGUGUAGAGUUAGCACUCUGGACUUUGAAUCCAGCGAUCCAAGUUCAAGUCUCGGUGGGA